CACACGCCGCACAUAACUUGCUAUAAAUUGAGCAUCAACAACCCCAAAGAUACAAUCAACACACUCUUGCUUGCUCUUUGUCUAAAACCAAGCCAAAGUUACUAAGGACGCAUAUAAAAUUAUGGCUCAGUUUAGCAUCCCCAAGGCAUUGGUGCUCAUGCUCGUGAUUGCUACAUUUGCUGCCGCCGUUUCUGCCCAGGAUAGCGAAAUGGCACCUGCACCUGCACCAGGAAUGGAUGCUGGAGCUGGGUUCUCUUUGCCUGUUUCUGGUGCCAUUGUUGGGUUCUCUCUUGUUGUUUCUCUUCUUGGCUUCUUGAAACAUUGAUGAAUCUGUUGUUUCUUCAAGUGGUGAGGGUUAAUUAAUUAUAUAUGUGUUUCGAGAAUGAUGGGUGAUGGAUCAUUUUUAUUUUCGAUUCAUUCUUUGUUUACGUUUGUUUACCAUAAAUAAAGAUUAAUGAAUGAAUUAUUACUUUGAUUUCUUGUAAUUCUUUUCCUACUCUAUUUCUUGAGCUGUAACAAAAAAAAUUUAGUCCUAACGAAAAUACUUAAAUGCACACUUUUUUUCCUUUUCCUCUUUUUUAUUUAUUUAUAUCAACGCAAUUAACAUUAAUGCAUACUCUGUUUCAUAGGAGUUGAGGGAUAUGUAUGGUGACUGAUGUGGCCAAUUUAGGCUUGAAUGGGGACUAAAUCAAACUUAUGGGAUUGGUUUUAUGCUCAUGACGAAGCAAGGAAAAUAUAAGAACUUAUUUACUUUAUAUCUUUAUCUUUCUAAUUAAACAUGUUUCUAACACUAAUCAAAGGAGAUCUCUUAUUUAUCUAAUUAAUUCCAUCAAGUGCUGCUAUGCUAAAACGGAGAGAAAUUUGUGCGUCAAAUAGCAAAGCAUCACCAAAACUGAUAACCCAUGGUAUUAGGUCUCCAUGUGAUUAGAAAUAGCUUUAAAUCCUUUAUUGCACCUUUUAAAGUUUUUUCAAUUAUUUUAGCUUUUAAUUAAUAUUUUAAUGUUUUUUAGAAUAGUUUUGAUGUGCUAAUAUUAAAAAUAAAAUUUAAAUAAAUAAAAAAUAUCAUUAUAAUAUAUUUUCAAUAAAAAAUACUUUUUAAAUAAUCACAACAAACAUAUUUUUAAAAAGAUAUUCAUAUAUAAUACUUUUAAAAAGAUAUCCAUAUCGUUUUAUGUUCCAGGAUUAUUUGGUUAGUAUGUUCAUUUGUGCUUCUGCCCCAUCGUAUCUGAAAAACAAGAAGUGAGUUAGAUUGAAAAACAAUGAAAAACAAGAAAAGGAAAUUAAGGGAAACUAAUUUGGAAAAGGAAAAACCCGGAUGGAAAUGAACAUGCAGUAUAAAAUCACACUAAUCUAUUAAGAUAUACAGGCACUCAGAUCCGCAAUGAGAGACCUCACAAAAGUUUUAUUAAUAUUACAAAUAGCACAAUAUUAACAUAUUAUUUGCCAUGUCCAUAGAAACAUUGACAUGCUAACUCCUCAUGAUCCCAAACUGAUUUAAUAAGAUCUGGGUUAUAACUCGAGUCAAACUAUAAUGACUCCGUUUAAACUAUAUUAUUUUUAUUUUUUUAUGUUUUAAAAAGAGUUUUUAUUGGUUUUCAUCUAUAUUUUUAACAGGGUUGUGGGUUGAUUUUUGAGAUCGACCAAGUCAUAUCUCAUCCAAUUUGACAUGAAACUUGACAAGAGUUAGGUCUUGGCUCGGUAAGUCACCAAGUUAACCUGUAAAAUCAAGUUAAAUGAGACCACCACAUACCACGCUGUGCAUAUAGUGUCAAAUUCACCUUCAUUGCAAAACACUAAGAAUUAUUGUUUGUUAGUCAACAUUGUAAAUAUAUUAGAAUAGUGAGUAAAAAUAUUUAGUUUAUUAUAACAAUAGCAUUCAAAACAUAAAAUAAAUUCAAGAAAUGAAAGCUUUGAGUUUAUACAAGUUUAAAUUAUCUAUAAGCAUGUAAAAUAAAAACUCGUGACAAACAUGUUUUCAAUAUAAAAUAAUAAUAGAAUUCUAGCAUUCAUAUUAAGUAUAUAAUCAAACUUGCAAUUAAUAUUAAUUCAAAAUUUUAGCAUGCAUACUAAUAAUAAAAAUAUUCAUAUUGAAACUAAAAUAAAAGAGGAUAUUUAUUUGUUAAAACACUUUAAAAUAAUGAAAUCUUUGUUGUUGUCAAUGAUAGUAAUUUGUCAUCAAAGAUUCAUUACUCCUCUCUUGUGCAAUUAAGAUAUGUCUUAUAUGUCUUCCAAGAUUCCAACAACACACCUCCAUCUUAGUUUAGAUGCACUUUUAAACAAGGUUUUUUUAACAAAAAUAAAAGAAUUCAAUUAUCUCUCAACAAAGUGAACUAAGCUUUAGAUUUGGGAGAAAACACGAAGCAUAAAAAGUGAAGGAAAACACUAAAAUUGAGGUGAUGAAAGGUGUGUAAAAUUUUAAAAAAACAUGUAGGAAACUCUUUAUUCCCCCUAAUUUUGAAAACUAAAAUGUUAAAGAAUUAAUUCUGGUAAUAAUUAUAAUUAAUUAUCACUAUUUUCAAGAUUUGAUUAGCCACCGUAAAUUAAAAAUUAAAUAUAAAUAUAGUGAUUAUAAAUCUGAAUUUUUAAGCUGAACAAAUUAUUCAGAUUUAUAGAAAAUGCUUUUAAAAUAGACUAUUAAUAUUCAUGGCCUGAACAAGAGAGAAUAAUAGGUUGAAGUAAAUAAUUUUUCAUAGACCAAACCCAAAUUUAAAAUUUGAUUGGUAAAAAAUAAUAUUUUACGAUCCAAAACAUUAUUUAAACCCAAACCCGAGCUGUGCAUGUAGAUUUAAGUCUAAAGUUCAUUUUACUUGGUGGAAGCUUUCCAACUUUUCAUUUUAUAAAUAAAAAGGAAGUGUUUUUUUUUUUUUUCAAUAUGUGAUAAAUUCUUUUAAAGUGAUUUGAUUUUCACCAAAGACAAGUCAAUCUAAGAUUAUUUGAGAUUAAUGUUAUAUUCACCUAUAAUUUUUCAUAUUAAAUAGCCUAUAUUAAAUAUUAAAUUUUAAUAAAAUUUUAAUUCAAAAAAUAAAUAGACUGAUUUUUUAAUUUGAUCUUAAAUACACUCCUUAAUCAUAGUUUAACAAAUUUUACAAGAAAACGCAAAUUCAUUAGAGAUUGUUAAAAUAUAUUUUCCUAUAAAAUUUCUGGACCAACACAAAAUAUGGAAUGACAACCCCCACAUGACCUGGAAGUGCACUGUGCUUUUGGAUCCUUAACCUUGCCUCAAGACAUGGGUUGGAACUUUGAACUUUGAAGUCAAGUCACCCAUGCCCUAAGUCCUGAGCCUACCGACGUGGUUCUAGCAAAGAAAGACGUUCCAUCUGCUACAACGUGUAAGACAACAAGGCGGCGCCCCCACCGCCCGGAACUUGUCAGACUACUUAUCAAACCCACAUGUCCAGUCUGUAAUCUGUAUAACUUUCACACACGUAAAAGCAGAUAUUUUAGAACUGUUUGGAUGGGUUGAAUUAUUCUUUAAUCCUGAGAUUUUGAGCCUGAUUAUAACUUAGUCCUUCAUAUAUUUCAAACCCAAUAACUUAGUCUUUUCAAUCUUCUUGACAUAUGACAUAUUAAAUUUCUUUUUCUAGUUUUGUACCUAAAUCCCAAAUGCAUAUCAUAUUAAAAUAAAUAAAAUAAAAUCAAAAUGUACCUCUCUAGGCAUUUAUAUUUUUUUAAAAAGGGUUAAUUGAUUGAAAAGACUCAAUGCUUUGAUAUUUUCUCUCACAUGUUUUUCCUAUUUUUAGACAAAAAUACCCUUUAGACCACCAAAAGAAAAAUCAACUUUCUAUACAUACAAGACUUGAAAAAAUAGAAAAUAAAAAAUUUGAAGAACCUAUAGUAAAGACUCGAAAUAUCUUAAGAAAUUUAAAAUAUUCCUAAAAAAUAUAAAAAAAAAUUAGUAACAUAUAAAAAUCUUGAAAACUCAUGUCUUUCAAACCCAUCUCGUUUCCAUAAACAUAUUUUAUUUAUGAGGUUUUAUUAACAUUGUUUUUUCAUCUCUAGAUUUUACAAGUUAUUGUUAUUAUUUCUAGGUUUUCAAUAUUUUCAAUAUUUUUUUAUUUUUGAAGUUAUAUUUUUUUAUUUUUUUAGGAAUUUCAAAAUUAAUUCCCCUCACAAUAUAUAAUUAUAGUUGUAGGUUAUUUGAGUCCGGAAAGUGUCGAAAGAGCAUAUGAGAGAGAAUAUUUAUUUAUUAGUGAAUGAUUCUUAAAAGAGCAUACGAAAGAAUAUACCGAAUAUAUAAUUUAUAAGGAUAGGUGGUUCAAUUAUUCCUGAAAAUAUACCAAGGAUUUAGUGAAAUUCGAAAAAAAAAAGAUUUAAAUAAAAUAGUCGAGAAAUGUCAAAAGACAGAGUAUGGACUUGCAAACAAAAAGACCUAAAUUAUAAUUAGGUUCAAAACUAGGGACUAAAUAAUAAUUUAAUCUUACCUUUAAUUAGGUGAACGUUGCCAGCCUAUAUUCUAAAAUUUUAUAGCCGUUGUAAAAUCACAAAUAGUAGAAGACACCCCUCUAUAAGAUCACCCUCUUCUUACAACCCUCAGAGUCUCAGACACAGCUUUUGUCUAAAACCAGAACCAAAGUUGCAUAGAAAAAUACGAAAGCAACUAAUCUCUCUUGUUUCUCUGAUUUAUUUAUUACUUUUAUUAUCAAUGGCUGCUCAGGUUAUUGUCUCCAAGACAUUCUUGCUUGUCCUUGUGAUUGCUGCCUUCGCUGUUGCUUCUGCCCAAGAUAGUGAAUCAAUGGCUCCUGCACCUGCACCAGGAAUGGAUGCUGGAGCUGCUGGGUUCUCUUCACCAGUUUCUGGAGCCAUUGUUGGGCUCUCUCUUAUUGUUUCUCUUCUUGGUUUCUUGAAACAUUGAUUAAUCUGUUGUUUCACUUGAUUUUUCAAGCUGGGAGGAGUUUUGGUUGAUUAAAUUAAUAUUUGUCGUGAGAGAGAGAGAGAGAGAGAGAGAAAGGUGAUGGAAAAUUGUUGUAUAUUGGAUUCAUUCUUUGUUAUUAAUUAUUUGUUUACUACAUACAAAAUUAAUGAAGUAAUUACUCUGAUUUUUUAUCCUUUUUUUUAUAAUAACUUUAUUUACUACAUCCAAAAUUAAUGAAAUAAAUAAAUUAUCCUCCUUUAAAUUAAAAAUUUUACUUGGCUACAGAUAAUUUGCUGAAUCA
rnacentral:lncRNA from 1 species